rnacentral:rRNA from 1 species
GGGUAAUGCCUACCAAGGGGAGACGGGUAGCCGGCUGAGAGGGCGCCGGCCACCUGGGGAUGAGCACGGCCCCAGAUCCUACCGGGGCAGCAGUGGGGAAUAUUGCACAAUGGGCGCAAGCCUGAUGCAGCGACGCCGCGUGAGGGAUGAAGGCCUUCGGAGUUGUAAACCUCUUUUCAGCAGGGAAGAAGCGCAAGUGACGGUACCUGCAGAAGAAGCGCCGGCUAACUACGUGCCAGCAGCCGCGGUAAUACGUAGGGCGCAAGCGUUGUCCGGAAUUAUUGGGCGUAAAGAGCUCGUAGGCGGUUUGUCGCGUCUGGUGUGAAAACUCAAGGCUCAACCUUGAGCUUGCAUCGGGUACGGGCAGACUAGAGUGCGGUAGGGGUGACUGGAAUUCCUGGUGUAGCGGUGGAAUGCGCAGAUAUCAGGAGGAACACCGAUGGCGAAGGCAGGUCACUGGGCCGCAACUGACGCUGAGGAGCGAAAGCAUGGGGAGCGAACAGGAUUAGAUACCCUGGUAGUCCAUGCCGUAAACGUUGGGCACUAGGGUGUGGGGCUCAUUCCACGAGUUCCGUGCCGCAGCAAACGCAUUAAGUGCCCCGCCUGGGGGAGUACGGCCGCAAGGCUAAAACUCAAAGGAAUUGACGGGGGCCCGCACAAGCGGCGGAGCAUGCGGAUUAAUUCGAUGCAACGCGAAGAACCUUACCAAGGCUUGACAUACACCGGAAACUUCCAAGAGAUGGUUGCCCCGCAAGGUCGGUGUACAGGUGGGGCAUGGGUUGUCGUCAGCUCGUGUCGUGAGAAGUUGGGGUUAAGUCCCGCAACGAGCGCAACCC